GUGACGAUGAUGAUGAUUUUUCCACCUCGAAUGAUACCAAUGAUCUUGAGUUUAACAUGCACUACCAUCUGAGUACAU